AUUGAACGCUGGCGGCAUGCCUUACACAUGCAAGUCGAACGGUAACGGGUCCUUCGGGAUGCCGACAAGUGGCGAACGGGUGAGUAAUAUAUCGGAACGUGCCCAGUAGUGGGGGAUAACUGCUCGAAAGAGCAGCUAAUACCGCAUACGACCUGAGGGUGAAAGGGGGGGAUCGCAAGACCUCUCGCUAUUGGAGCGGCCGAUAUCAGAUUAGCUAGUUGGUGGGGUAAAGGCCUACCAAGGCAACGAUCUGUAGUUGGUCUGAGAGGACGACCAGCCACACUGGGACUGAGACACGGCCCAGACUCCUACGGGAGGCAGCAGUGGGGAAUUUUGGACAAUGGGCGCAAGCCUGAUCCAGCAAUGCCGCGUGCAGGAAGAGGGCCUUCGGGUUGUAAACUGCUUUUGUCAGGGAAGAAAUCUUCUGGGCCAAUACCCCGGGAGGAUGACGGUACCUGAAGAAUAAGCACCGGCUAACUACGUGCCAGCAGCCGCCGUAA
rnacentral:rRNA from 1 species